CCAGGGUAGUCUAAGGUGCUUUGUUUCCCACACAAGUUAGCAGGCUUAGGUUAGGGGCUAAGACAAAGCUAUUAGACAGGAUGGUUGGGCCAGGGAAGAAACUCCACAAUGCAAACACCUUAGGUGUUUGUUGAAAUGCACCCUAGGUGUUUGUUGAAAUGCUAGACACGUCUAAAAGAAUUUUUUCACAUCCAAACUUUCGAGAGUGAUGUCUCUUAAGACAUUAAAAUAGGUGGUGUGGUUAGUUUGGAAAAAAGCAAAACUUGCUAAUGCAAAUGUUUCAGAAAA
rnacentral:lncRNA from 1 species